rnacentral:misc_RNA from 1 species
GGCUGGACAGCAAAUUUCAGCUGUGGCCAACACAUUGGAGGUUGCACAGAUACCUUGAAGCUUUAUCGUAAAGGAGAACUUGAACCUUUGUUGUCAAAAGCUAAUGCUAAAAGUUCACAGGCCUAGAAUCCUUGCCAUUAGUUGCAGUCAUUGAGAAUUCUGAUUCCCUUGCAAAUUUUGGGCUUGUUAUCAUAUAAGAAGAUAUGCCACAAGUCUGCGUAAUCAGAAUGCCAUUUAACUUCAUUGACGAAGUUUUAUGUUCAACUCCUUUAUAUGAUCUCUUUAGUUGAAUUGUAUAUUGAACUCAAUAAUGUUUGUUGUUGCAUAAUAACACUAGCACUUUCUUUAAUAUUUAAGAACACUUAACAAGUGCAACAAAUAUACUCUUUAUUGUAUAAAACUAAUAAUUUGUAUUUCAUUUUCGGGCACUAACACUUCGUUCCUUUUUUCCUCUUCAUUGUUUAACUGCCCCUGCCUGUGUGUUUCUUUGUUUAUUUUGCAUGUAUGAGGUUGUGGAACUUUUGUUGGGCACGUGUACGUGGAAGGGGAGAUAAUGCAGAGUUAGUUGCACAAGUUCCAUGAUUCUGGCCUUGCCCUGAGAAAAAGGAAUAGCUCAGAAAUGGCAUCUCAGAAGUCAGACGAUAGUGUAUCAGGUUAAUGAACUAGGUUCUCAAUUAUUGAUGUCAAAUAUUGGGGACAGCUUCAAGUUCUAGAACUUGACAUUUUUUUACCUAAUGUGCUGCUCACAGUUUGAAGAACGUUGAGAAAGAACUUUUAAGUUGUUUAUUCGUCAUUUUGGCAGAAACCAAAAUCAGUGAAUACAGAGGUCAAGAAGGUUUGAAGGCAUUCAAUGCAUAAUUAAUGAAAUGGACCCUGAUUUCAUAAUAAGGAGUAAUAGAAAAUCCUUGACAAAUUAGAAGUCAUUGUUAGAGUGAUUCAAUAUUCUCCCUCAUCAAAUGUACUCCAGGAACAUAACAACUAAGUCCUAAUCUCAAACUAGUAGGGGAUCACAUUCAUUAAAAUGCAAAAGAAUCGCAAUGUAUUAUGCAUGCGAUGUUGCUGAUGCGAUAAACAUCUCUCUUCGGCAUCUGAAAUAGGCCAGCAUUCCAUCAUAAUCAGGAAGGUUUUCUUUGAUGACAGGAACUUCCCUGAAGUUCUUGAUCCAAGCUUGUAAACGAGGGAAGCUUUCAGCUUCCAGUAACUUGACACCGACUGCCUUUUGCAUGACUUCAAGCCAGCCAGCUAUCCAUCCAAACGCUAUAUCAACUAAUCCAAUCUUGUCACCACCAAAAAACUUCUUGUCCCCAAGACCAUGCUCUUCCACGAUUCCCAGCAGUUCUCUUGCUUCUUUUACGGCCUUCUCUUGUUGUUCUCCCACAGUUCGAAAGAAAGCAAAGAAAGUUUGGCUCUGCAACACUCGAAUCACGUAUAAAUUAGCUGAAGUUAAUCACAAAUCCUUGAAGCUUCAGCCUUCAAGACUCAAGAAUUUUAGUUACAGAAUAAAUAAUUACCUUAUCCUCUUCAAACUUGGUCCAGAACCUAGCCAUAGCUCUCUCAUAAGGGUCUUCUGGGAGCAAGGGAUUCUGAGGCCAGGUAUCUUCUAUGUACUCAAGAAUGACGAUGGACUCAGCUACAGGUUUCCCACCAUGAACCAACACAGGAAUCUUUUUAUAAACGGGGUUAUACUGUAGAAGCAACUCACUUUUGUUAAAGAUAUUCUCAUCAAUGUAUUCAUAGCUCACUCCCUUGAGUUUCAGAGCCCAAAUGACCCUGUAAGCAAAGGGACUUGGCCAAGCUCCUAGCAGCUUGACUUGUUCCAUGCUGUGGAAGUAGAUGUUUGUUCUUCUUCUCUUCCCCUUGCCAAGCUCUAUCUUACACUUUAAUGAAGUGGGGAUAAGAUUUUGCUUGGACUCUAGUAGCUUGCUUGGAAGAAUCAUAGUCAUUUUCCUUCUGGCAGACUACUUUGACUAUGUAAAAUGCAUGCUGAUGGCUUGGACUAG